UCGAGCGGCAGAAGGGAGCUUGCUCCCGGAUGUUAGCGGCGGCGGGUGAGUAACACGUGGGUAACCUGCCUGUAAGACUGGGAUAACUCCGGGAAACCGGAGCUAAUACCGGAUAGUUCCUUGAACCGCAUGGUUCAAGGAUGAAAGACGGUUUCGGCUGUCACUUACAGAUGGACCCGCGGCGCAUUAGCUAGUUGGUGAGGUAACGGCUCACCAAGGCGACGAUGCGUAGCCGACCUGAGAGGGUGAUCGGCCACACUGGGACUGAGACACGGCCCAGACUCCUACGGGAGGCAGCAGUAGGGAAUCUUCCGCAAUGGACGAAAGUCUGACGGAGCAACGCCGCGUGAGUGAUGAAGGUUUUCGGAUCGUAAAGCUCUGUUGUUAGGGAAAACAAGUGCAAGAGUAACUGCUUGCACCUUGACGGUACCUAACCAGAAAGCCACGGCUAACUAC
rnacentral:rRNA from 1 species